GCCUGGGCGACAGAAUAAGACACCAUCUCAAAUAAAAAACAAAACAAUACAAAACAAAAAACCCAAAAACAAAACAAAACAAAACACUAAUAGGGAAAAGAAGAAAGACCUAGUAGAGUUUUUAAAAGCUCUAGCCUAGUUGGGAGUUGGGAAGAGAGGCAAGUUACCAGCUCAUCAUAAUAUCUAAUAGGAAAAGGAAGAAGGACCUAGCAGAGAUGUGUACAAGCAGCACCUUAUUCUGCUUGGGAGAGUCUAAGGAGGCUCCAAAAAGAGGGACCUCCAAUAGAGUGACAUUCCUGACCUCUUGCCCCACUCGAUUGGCGCUUCUGGAAGAAGGAACUGAAAGCACUCAUCUAAGUCGUCACUCUCUUGGGAUCCACUUGCCUGCAGAAAAUGUGCAUUCUGAGGUUAGAGGAGCAGGCAUUGUCCUACUGGUUUGGGUGAAGUUGGAGUGAGGGAUAAAUUCAAUUCAGGAGAGUAUUCGCAAGCUGUGUCCUCCAGCAGAG
rnacentral:lncRNA from 10 species